rnacentral:rRNA from 1 species
UGUGCCAGCCGUCGCGGUAAGACAUGAAAGACAAGCGUUAUUCAUCUUUAAUAGGUUUAAAGGGUACUCAGACAGUUAAUUAAGCCUGCACAAGGAACUGAUUAUGCUAGAGUUUGAUAGGAGAAGGCUAGAACGGUUAGUGGAGAGAUAAAAUAUUUUGAUACAACUUUGAUACUGACAACAGCGAAGGCAACCUUUUAUGUAAAAACUGACGUUAAAGGACGAAGGCUAUAAACAAACAACAGGAUUAGAUACCCCAGUAUUAGUAGCAGUCAAUGAUGAAUGUUGUAGGUAAGUAAUAUAGUUUACCUAUAAAUGAAAAUGUAAACAUUCCACCUUAAGAGUAAAAUGGCAACGUAGGAACUGAAAUCAUUAGACCGUUUCUGAAACCAGUAGUGAAGUAUGUUAGUUAAAUUGAUGAUCCACAAAGAACCUUACCACAACUUGAAUGUUAAUUCACAGGAGUUGCACGGCUGUCUUCAGUUGAUAUCGUGAGAUUUUGGUUAGUUCCAUUUAAUCAACGUAAACCCUUACUUUAAUUUUUACUUAAAGUAGUUCGCCAUUAUAUUGGAUAUGAUAAAAGGGACUAAGACAAGUCAUCAUGACCCAAAUGUUGUGGGCUAUAG